GGUCAGCAUGUUAGGAAUAGGUGUGGUCAGCAUGUUAGGAAUAGGUGUGGUCAGCAUGAUAGGAAUAGGUGUGGUCAGCAUGAUAGGAAUAGGUGUGGUCAGCAUGUUAGGAAUAGGUGUGGUCAGCAUGAUAGGAAUAGGUGUGGUCAGCAUGUUAGGAAUAGGUGUGGUCAGCAUGUUAGGAAUAGGUAUGGUCAGCAUGUUAGGAAUAGGUGUGGUCAGCAUGUUAGGAAUAGGUGUGG